UUCUUGGCAGUCCAGUGGUUAGGACUCUGCAUUUCCAUUACAGGAGGGCACAGGUUCAAUCCCUGAUCAGGGAA
rnacentral:tRNA from 1 species